GACGAACGCUGGCGGCGUGCUUAACACAUGCAAGUCGAACGGAAAGGCCCUGCUUGCAGGGUAUUCGAGUGGCGAACGGGUGAGUAACACGUGGGUGAUCUGCCCUGCACUUCGGGAUAAGCCUGGGAAACUGGGUCUAAUACCGGCUAGGAGCCAUUUUUAGUGUGAUGGUUGGAAAGUUUUUUCGGUGUAGGAUGAGCUCGCGGCCUAUCAGCUUGUUGGUGGGGUAAUGGCCUACCAAGGCGGCGACGGGUAGCCGGCCUGAGAGGGUGGACGGCCACAUUGGGGCUGGGAUGCGGCCCAGACGCCUACGGGAGGCAGCAGUGGGGAAUAUUGCACAAUGGGCGCAAGCCUGAUGCAGCGACGCCGCGUGGGGGAUGACGGCCUUCGGGUUGUAAACUCCUUUCGCUAGGGACGAAGCUUUUUGUGACGGUACCUAGAUAAGAAGCACCGGCUAACUACGUG
rnacentral:rRNA from 1 species